GGAGCUAAUACUAUUUACAACAAGCUCAUUAGCACUAAUCGAAAAUUUUCAAAAAAAGCUACUUAGACAAAUACUGUCAUUACCAACUUGCGUAGCAGAUAUAACUAUUAACAUCUUAACUGGAAUAUUGCCAAUAGAAGCCCAACUACAUAUAUUCGAGCACUUGGACUCUUCAACAACAUCUGUCAUCAGCCCGAAGAAAGUAUAGAAAAUUCGCUAGCUAUACGACAACUUAUCGUAAAAAACAACCAAAGUUCUAGUUGGUUUGUCGCCGUAAAACAUAUGCUCAGGAAGUACAAUCUGCAAGAAGCCACAUGGUACCUUGACAACCCCGUCAAAAAAUAAUUAUGGAUCUCAAACAUCAAGAGAACAGAAAAUAAUUACUGGAGCAAAUCAUAUGUGCAACUGCUGCCACUAUAUAAAGGACUAGACCAUCUCACAACGGGAAACCUGGAAAAAGGUAAAAUUCAUCCUCAUAUCAGAAUUAAACUGCCACUAGCCAUAGAUACGACCUACCAGUUGGUAAAGCUGCUUACUGGAUCAUAUAUUCUACAAAGCAAGCGAAUAAAAAUGUAUAACGACGAAAUCGAUCCGAAGUGCCUACUAUGCUCAAAAGGAUGAUGAAACUGUGACCCAUUUCAUAUUACACUGCGUACAACUCCGAAAUAUCAGGAACAAGAUACUUUUAGAAACAGUUGAUGUACUAACAGUCUUGGAAUUCAAUUUAAUGAACUAUUGGACAGUGAAAAGUUACAAAUAAUUCUGGACAUCACACCGGUAGCAAAAACAAAGAAACUCUCUCCAGCCAGUGUAGCAAAAGUAGAACGCCUAACUAGACGCUUGAUAUAUCAGUUACACAUAGCCCG
rnacentral:lncRNA from 1 species